rnacentral:rRNA from 1 species
UACGGAGGGGGCGAGCGUUAUUCGGAAUUAUUGGGCGUAAAGGGCGCGUAGGCGGCUUGGCAAGUCAAAGGUGAAAUCCCUCGGCUCAACUGAGGAACUGCCUUUGAAACUGCCUGGCUUGAGGCCGGGAGGGGGUAGCGGAAUUCCCAGUGUAGCGGUGAAAUGCGUAGAUAUUGGGAGGAACACCAGUGGCGAAGGCGGCUACCUGGACCGGUUCUGACACUGAUGCGCGAAAGCGUGGGGAGCAAACAGG